UGCGCCCAUCUUGCAACAAGUCAAAGCCUUAAAGCUUUAGGGAAGUUGGUGAAAAUCCAACACUGCCCCCGCAACGGUAAAAAAUGAAACGUCAAUCAAUUUAAACCUCUGGUUUACGCCACUGCAUGAAAAUGUGGGAAGGUGGAUUGGCAGCAUGGUGCCUGCCCUGCACAUUUAAGUCCGGAUACCUGCUUGUUGUGUUCUUUAACU
rnacentral:ncRNA from 2 species